UUGGAAAGGCAGAAUGGAUCGAUCAGCUUCUCCUCAAUCACCUCUCAUUGAAGCCGCAUUGAUGGAGAGCCUUCUUCCUCACUUGCCAAGGCUGCUCUGAACAGCCUCUUGCCUAGACAUGCCACUGACUUGGUCCGGUUGAUGAUCCUUGUAGAAGCUUUUGCAAAAGACUUGUUACUGACCAUGGAUCAUAUGCAUUAAGACUCCCCC
rnacentral:lncRNA from 1 species